AAGCGCGCGUAGGUGGUUUGUUAAGUUGGAUGUGAAAUCCCCGGGCUCAACCUGGGAACUGCAUUCAAAACUGACUGACUAGAGUAUGGUAGAGGGUGGUGGAAUUUCCUGUGUAGCGGUGAAAUGCGUAGAUAUAGGAAGGAACACCAGUGGCGAAGGCGACCACCUGGACUGAUACUGACACUGAGGUGCGAAAGCGUGGGGAGCAAACAGGAUUAGAUACCCCUGGU
rnacentral:rRNA from 1 species